UACAGCGACAAUAUUUUCUCCCUUUUCAUAGGCUAAUGUUGAAAACACAGCUCAAUAUGUGUUUUUUACGCUACGAUAUUAUUUAGGAAAUAGUGACAAUUUAUUUUACAUUUAAGUUUUAUGUUCGAGUUCAAGUUAUCUUUAUCUACACAAUAAAAGACCCCGGAAGUCCUGUCACGGUUUGUAAACACAUGGCUUGUAGUCGCGUCUGAUGCUCAGUUAUGCACAAACUGUUUGAUAUAAAGUUUCCAGGAGACUGUCAGACUCUUCCUGAGGGUUUCUGGUCGGCUGUGGACGUGUGGAUAAAGAAACCUCACGUUGUCAACAAGCGUCUCUGCGGGGUGAAGGAGACUGAGAGUAAAGAUGUGGACAGAGAGGCUGUGCAGCUCCUGCUGGGUGAUGAUGCUGAAGUCACCCAGGAUGUGUUGUCCUUCAUGACAAGCAGGGUGUCACCGGCACAGACACACCAACAGGAUAACCUGUGGUCCUCUAGUGUCAGGACAUUUAUUCCUAAAGUAAACAGUUAUGGGACAAACCUGCAGAAAGAGGUGAUACUCAAAGACUUUGGCAGACAGCAGGUGACCUUUGUUCCAUUUGAAGAGGAAACAGGAGGACAGGUGUCUCUAAAGAGGGGUAACAUUUAUCAGCUGCAGCUCCUCCAUCAGGACUGUGAGGGAUGGGCCUUGGAGCUGCACGUGUUGGCUUCAGAUGCGUGGUUCUCUGAUGGCGUUGCGUACCCAAAGCUGCCCUGGCUGUCCAGUGACCUGCUACCUAAACUGGUGCGCUGGGCCACUGAGUGCAAGAGCAGUGAGUUCAGGAGCACCUUGUCCCUGCUGCCGGUGGAGAAGUACAGUGUCAUGUACCAGCAGCUGAAGGAGAAGUACAAGGCCAUGGUCAAGGUUUGGCCUGAGGUUACAGAUCCUGAGAAGUUUGUCUACGAGGAUGUUGCCAUUGCUACGUAUCUGCUUGUGCUGUGGGCUGAGGAGAGAGCAGAGAAAGGUCUGAGUGCCAGACAGUCCUUUGUGGACCUGGGCUGUGGAAACGGCCUCCUGGUUCACAUACUGGCCAAUGAAGGGCAUCCUGGAAAGGGCAUCGAUGUUCGGAAGAGGAAGAUCUGGGACAUGUACGGCCCCCAGACUGUGCUAGAGGAAAAGGCAAUUACUCCCAGCGAGAGCUUCUUAUUCCCGGGUACGGACUGGCUGAUUGGGAACCACUCGGACGAGCUCACACCGUGGAUCCCCGUUAUAGCUGCCAGGUCAUCGUACUCCUGCCGGUAUUUCGUCCUCCCCUGCUGUUUCUUUGACUUCUAUGCAAAGUAUCAGAGACGCCAGUGUAAGAAGUCUCAGUAUAAAGAAUACAUCGACUUCAUCACGGAGGUCAGCCAAGUUAGCGGCUUCAACACUGAGGAGGACUGCCUGAGGAUACCGUCCACCAAACGGGUGUGUCUGGUGGGAAAAUCAAGAAACUACCAGCUAUCUGACGAGGCUGAGGCAGAGCAGCGAAGAGCUCAUUACAUCCAGAGCCAUCAGACUGCCCCUGGGGCCGCAGUUCAAAGGUCGGAGAUCAGAAAUGAUGGUGAUUGUUGCCAUGGGAACAAAGACACUGACAGGACGCCCGAUGGCAGCUGGGGAGCAGGGUUCCAACCCAGAGACAGGGUUGAAACGGUUCGAAACUGCGCUGCUCUCCCCCGGGACUUUGUUGACGGCGUUGUCCUGCGGGUCGCCAAUGUUCUUCUAGGAUUGACUGGUGAUGACGGGACCUCCAGUGACUGGAAUCAAGGAGGCAGCCUCUCUGUGAGCGAGGUCGCCGGGCUGUUGGAGCAGGAAACCCUGCAGCUCCUGAAGAAGGAGUGUGGAGGCCUUCAGACACUAAUCAAGAACAACCACCAAGUCUUCAGAGUGGAAGGAGGCAGGGUGUACAUACGAGACUGGCGGGACAGGAAGUCCUCCAGGGCGGAUACCCAGAGGAAGCCAGUUGCCCCCGGUGCCCUGAAAACUCGCCCCUGCUGGUUCUAUGACCACCACCCUCAGCGCUGCCCCCUGCAGGCUGAACACUGUGGCUUCGCCCAUGGACCUGACGACCUCCGACCCUCGACCAGGCCUCUGAAGAAGAUGAAAAACAGUGCCUUUUGAUUGGCUCAUUCCUCCUCAACACUCAUUUAGUUAGUAGAUUUUUAAAUUGAGGAACUACUUUUCUAAUUAACAGCAUUCACUCUGUGAAUGCAGUCUGUUGAACCUCCUGGAAAAGUCUCGACAUCCAGACCUGCAGCCACAGACAGGAAGAAGCUCAGGCCAAAGCUGUGAAGAAAUCAAUUCAUGAAAAUACUCCUGCCGCUCCAGGUCUGCAAAGAUCAUCCGGUGCAAUCGACCUACUGCCCUACAUUUAACUGCAGACGAGCGUGACGUGCCCGGGCAGCGGAGGUGUUCACCUGCAUUAUUCCCAGCUCCACACACUUGCAGCCACUCUCGCCGUGACCUUGUGACCCAGGCCCUUUCUGACUGCUGUUCAAUAAGCCAUAAUUAUGACUGUUUAUGUCCGCCUUGCACCGCUGCCCUGGAGACCAAAGGACAGCAAGAGCAAGCAAUAUUACCCCUCACACACCUCCAUCACUCCAUCCCUCCCCACACUGGGGAGGGGAGUCUCCCUCCCCCCUGCCCUGAUGUAAACACUGCUAUUAAUUAGCAUAUAUGCUACCAGUGCUGUGAUUAAUGAGCGGUGAUGCUGUAGCACAAAAGCACCUGGUUAUGGUCAGGAGAAGAUCAUGUUACCUGCUUUUGGUGCCACAAACACAACUGGAAUUGCAACUGAUGUUUCGCUAAAAAACACCCACUUUUGGCAGGACUAUAAAAGGUUUGUUGUUUGUUGGUCGCAAGCAGUGGUCUGCAGCUUGGCAGCAGCGUCCCAUCUCACCUUUGAACGUUUAUGCAUCACGUGAAUUUGUACAAAUGUAAAAAUCAGUGAUUCACAGAACGUACAAUGCCGAUUUUUUCUUCUGGUUACUGGGCUGUAAUUGGCAGAUAAGAACAUGUCUUGACAUUUACCCCAGAAGAAAAACCCACAGUUGCAAAAUUACAUCACUUUUAACUAUCUCUAAAAAUAUAUAUAAUGGUUUAAAAAAGAAAAACACACAUUUACAUAGUCA